GUGUUUAACAUUUUAAUUUUUUUUUGUAGAUGUGAGCUGAGUUUCAUCGCAUCACAAAUGUCAACCUGUGAAAAUAGCUUUAUUUUGACCUGGACAGACAGACGCCACGGAUGCUGAUCUUGUUGAGACAGAAGGCAGCACGAACCGGAAGGCUCUAUGCGACAUUCUUCACCUCUAUGAUAAACAGCAAGAACAGACUGCUGAUGUCAAAGGUACUCCUGUCCUGUACUGGCUUCCCAUAUACAAACGUGAGGAGGACCCACAGUUCUUCAAAGUUUGGAAUAUUAAAGAGUCACCAGAGGCAGACAUCAGCAACACCUCUGUUGGCAUUCUGACCGUCAGCAACAACAAUACAAGUUCAGUGCAUUUCUGUCCGCUCAGUACAGCAGUUGUGGUGGAAGAUGAGCUUGUGGUAGGCGACAUUCCUAAAUGGGUAUUUUUUUUAGCGCUAAUGUUUGUAGGGAAAGGGCAGCCUAAGAAAAUGCAGUUUUAUGUGGGAAAAGUGUAAAAAAAAAUGCUGAUACACAAUUUUUGCUUUUCUUGAAAUGUAAGAAUGCUCUUUUUUAUAAAGUUGUAUAAGGAAAUGGUGUAAAAAAGAUUGGUGCUCAUUUUU